rnacentral:rRNA from 1 species
GAGUUUGAUCUUGGCUCAGAUUGAACGCUGGCGGCAUGCCUUACACAUGCAAGUCGAACGGCAGCACGGGAGCUUGCUCCUGGUGGCGAGUGGCGAACGGGUGAGUAAUGCCUAGGAAUCUGCCUGGUAGUGGGGGACAACGUUUCGAAAGGAACGCUAAUACCGCAUACGUCCUACGGGAGAAAGCAGGGGACCUUCGGGCCUUGCGCUAUCAGAUGAGCCUAGGUCGGAUUAGCUAGUUGGUGGGGUAAUGGCUCACCAAGGCGACGAUCCGUAACUGGUCUGAGAGGAUGAUCAGUCACACUGGAACUGAGACACGGUCCAGACUCCUACGGGAGGCAGCAGUGGGGAAUAUUGGACAAUGGGGGCAACCCUGAUCCAGCCAUGCCGCGUGAGUGAAGAAGGCCU